GACAUGAUUUUUAACCUAAAAAAUUAUUUCUCGUGUAUAUAAUAUAUUACAAAUAUAAUAAUAAUGUACUAGAUCAACCAUAGAAUUAUUUUUCAUAUUUAACUGCAUAUCAAGAAUACACUAACUUUGAAUUAAAAAAAAAAGUGAAAUAUAUUUUAUCAACAAAAAUGUAUUAUUAAAUUAAACAUAAUAAGGUUGAACGAACUAAAAAUAUCGUUUUAUCAAUGUACAAUAAUAAUAGAGUCGACAAGGACAGACUUAUGUAAAAUACAUGGACUCUGAAUUUAAGAUGUAUGUAAAAAAAAUGUACAAAAGUUCUGGUCCAAAGUUAAAGUAAAUGAAUUUAUUGAUAAAAAAAAUUGUAAUUUUUUAUAUAAAAAUUCAAAAACCUCGAAAAAUACCAGAUUUUUAAAAAUUUAUAACUCGAAAGUUUGGGCACUUAUAAAAAAAAUAAUAAAAUAAAGAUACGACGACUAUUUUUUUUCUGUUAAGAAUGAAAAAAAAUAUAUUUAUCCGAAUUUAAAAGGUCAUAAGUAGAAUUGCUCAUAAUAUAGAAUUAUAGAAGUGCAGGUAAUUUAUUAAGAUUUAUAGUGGCAAAUUAAUGAAAGUCAAUGCCAAUGUAAAUAAAUACCUAAAUAUUAUAGUGAUUUGAAUUAAAAAAAUUUCAUCUUGUAUAUUUAUAAAUAUACUUAAAGACAUGUUAAAUAAGUAUAUUCGAUAAAUCGUGACUUUCGAUCUGAAUGGAGCAUUGACCUAAAGAGACCAUAAUAACAUCAAAUCAGAGACGGUGAAACCCAGGAAUAUAAUGCUCAGAUGUACAUGCAACAGGAUUAGAUUGGUCUUGUAUUUGUCGGAGAGGUGAAAAUCGAUUAUGUUAUCUCUCACAAGCAAUGGGAGUGAGGAAAUAAUAAUUACAUCUGACUGGUUCCAAGACUUGUUAUUUAUAAAGAAGAUAAUUAAGUUGCGCAUUUUUAUAAUUAAUUGCAAAAAAAGAAAGAAAAAUUCAAGAAAGUCGUUUCUAUAAAUACAUUAUUAUCGGAACAAUUGAAAAAGAAAUAGAAAUUCCAUAAGAAAAUGUUCUUUA